rnacentral:rRNA from 1 species
CCUACGGGAGGCAGCAGUGAGGAAUAUUGGUCAAUGGCCGUAAGGCUGAACCAGCCAAGUAGCGUGAGGGAAGACUGCCCUAUGGGUUGUAAACCUCUUUUAUGCGGGGAUAAAGGUGUCCACGUGUGGAUGUUUGCAGGUACCUCAUGAAUAAGGACCGGCUAAUUCCGUGCCAGCAGCCGCGGUAAUACGGAAGGUCCGGGCGUUAUCCGGAUUUAUUGGGUUUAAAGGGAGCGUAGGCCGGUCUUUAAGCGUGCCGGGAAAUUUUGUGGCUCAACCAUGAGAGUGCGGCGCGAACUGGAGACCUUGAGUGCGCGGAAGGCAGGCGGAAUUCGUGGUGUAGCGGUGAAAUGCUUAGAUAUCACGAAGAACCCCGAUUGCGAAGGCAGCCUGCCGCAGCGUGACUGACGCUGAAGCUCGAAAGCGCGGGUAUCGAACAGGAUUAGAUACCCCUGUAGUC